rnacentral:rRNA from 1 species
CUGCUGCCUCCCGUAGGAGUCUGGGCCGUGUCUCAGUCCCAAUGUGGCCGUCCAACCUCUCAGUCCGGCUACCGAUCGUCGGCUUGGUGGGCCGUUACCUCACCAACUACCUAAUCGGACGCGAGCCCAUCUUUCAGCGGAUUGCUCCUUUGAUUAUCCUACCAUGCGAUAAGAUAAUGUCAUGCGGUAUUAGCGUUCGUUUCCAAACGUUAUCCCCCUCCUGAAAGGCAGGUUGCUCACGCGUUACUCACCCGUCCCG